rnacentral:rRNA from 1 species
CCGCGGUAAGACGAGAGCAGCGUUUCCGGAUUUACUGGGCGUAAAGCGUCUGUAGGCGGAUGAGUAAGUUGGGCGUGAAAGCUCCGGGCUCAACCCGGAGAGGCCGUUCAAUACUGCUGAUCUAGAGGAGGCCAGAGGGGAGUGGAAUUCCUGGAGUAGCGGUAAAAUGCGCAGAUAUCAGGAAGAACACCAGUGGCGAAGGCGGCUCCCUAGGGCCCACCUGACGCUGAGAGACGACAGCUAGGGGAGCGAACAGGAUUAGAGACCCUGGUAGUCCUAGCCGUAAACGAUGGAUGCUAGGUGUAGGGCCGUAGAGGCUCUGUGCCGGAGCGAACGCGAUAAGCAUCCCGCCUGGGGAGUACGGCCGCAAGGCUAAAACUCAAACGAAUUGACGGGGACCCGCACAAGCAGCGGAGCGUGUGGUUUAAUUCGAUGCUACACGAAGAACCUUACCUGGGUUUGACAUGGGCGUGGUAGUGAAGCGAAAGCGGAGCGACCCUUCGGGGAGCGUCCACAGGUGCUGCAUGGCUGUCGUCAGCUCGUGCCGUGAGGUGUCGGGUUAAGUCCCGUAACGAGCGCAACCCUUGCCCUUAGUUACAAGUGUCUAAGGGGACUGCCGGCGGGAAGCCGGAGGAAGGUGGGGAUGACGUCAAGUCAGCAUGGCCCUUAUAUCCAGGGCUACACACACGCUACAAUGGCCGGUACAGAGGGCAGCGAAGCCGCGAGGUGGAGCGAAUCCCAGAAAGCCGGUCGUAGUUCGGAUUGCAGGCUGCAACCCGCCUGCAUGAAGCUGGAGUUGCUAGUAACCGCGCGUCAGCCAUAGUGCGGUGAAUACGUUCCCGGGUCUUGUACUCACCGCC